rnacentral:miRNA from 1 species
UUUGUUGGUGUUCGUGGC